AUUUCGCCGCCCAAGUACACAUAUUUGACAAAGCUUUCAUAGGAGUUCCGGACAUUUCCAGGAGUAGUUUUAUGACCCUGGUGGUAGUCUGGCCUUUCCUCUGUAUCGUGAACCUAGAGAAACACUCAUUAGAACCCGAUUGAUCCCCUCUUUAACCUUUAGAAAUAGUACUGAUGUGAGGUGCGAAGGUGUCUUAAUACCGACCACAGAACCACACACAUAAACACUCAUACUCUCCACGACAAACGUUUGGGUGACACAAUGUUCAUUUUAAAUCGUUCCCCCUCGUAACAUGGUAACUCUACGGGGGUAACCUGCUCACUGAUACAUACAUGAACAUACAUCUGCAACACACACACACAAACACACCAGCGCCUCUCCACAUCGCACAUACACAUAUACAAACAAGAAUAAGACUACCGAGAUACCCCAAUGCCCUGCCUAACACCGCCCUGCCCUGCACAGACAUUCAUAUACCUUGUGAUGCACCAUUUGUUCACUCUCAUAUUUAGCCUAGGAAACAAUGACCUUUACUUAUCGACUUCUUUUUCUUGUAUGUAACCACCUAUCGAAAGGUUACCAGCGUGUGCAUAAACAAACAAAACCCCAAAACACACACACACACACACACUGACCUCUCUUUCAGCCUCUUCCUCUGUUUUCCGUAAUUGGAGAAGCACCAAUUUUUUUUUUUUUAACCUUACACUUGUUUUAUUCCCCUUGAGCUGUCUCCCUUGCUAUAAACACCCCCCCACCCCCGCACCCACACACCAAACAGUUAACCUCGUAUAGAAUAAGUCCUUCAAGCCUCAGGCAGCGGUGGAACUAUAUACAGACAGUCCAAAAUUCACCCAGUCACUUUUGUACGGCAGAAAUAUAACAGCACUUCCAGACUGCGGUAGACUCCAUAUAUAGAUGAUAGUUAACACACCUAUUAUGCGGCGUAACUAUAUGUAUGCUACGGUUCUAAGGUAGGCAGUGACUAUGUAUAGAUUCAUUUCGGGGGGAGCUACUCUUUAAAUUCUGCCGCUGUCUAAGAGUUAAUGUAAUGUAUUUAAGAGUGCUGUGAUGAAGUACCUGUAGCGUUCUCACACGGAGGUUCUGGCGACAGGAGGGACGGUCGUGCAGGUGAGACAAUAGGAUGUGGAUUUCAUGAUGCCCGAGUUCAAAGUGUGUGUUGUUUAUAUUAGGGAAGGUUAAGAUAUGUACUGCCGAGAGGGUGUUCAAAGCGUGCGUUGUGUACAUUAGGGAAAGUUAAGGUAAGUACUGCCAAGAGGGUGUUCAAAGCGUGUGUUGUGUACAUAAGGGAAGGUUAGGAUAUGUACUGCCAAGAGGGUGCCUAUGUAAUGUUAUGUAUGGAAAAUAAACUGUUUUACCUAA